rnacentral:rRNA from 1 species
GACGAACGCUGGCGGCGUGCUUAACACAUGCAAGUCGAACGGAAAGGCCCUGCUUUUGUGGGGUGCUCGAGUGGCGAACGGGUGAGUAACACGCGAGUAACCUGCCCCUGACUUUGGGAUAACUUCAGGAAACUGGGGCUAAUACCGGAUAGGAGCUCCUGCUGCAUGGUGGGGGUUGGAAAGUUUCGGCGGUUUGGGAUGGACUCGCGGCUUAUCAGCUUGUUGGUGGGGUAGUGGCUUACCAAGGCUUUGACGGGUAGCCGGCCUGAGAGGGUGACCGGCCACAUGGGGACUAAGAUACGGCCCAGAAUCCUACGGGAGGCAGCAGUGGGGAAUAUUGCAGAAUGGGCGGAAGCCUGAUGCAGCAACGCCGCGUGCGGGAUGACGGCCUUCGGGUUGUAAACCGCUUUCGCAUGUGACGAAGCGUGAGUGACGGUAAUGGGUAAAGAAGCACCGGCUAACUACGUG